CUACUGUCCCUCGGCGGCUAUUGUCUUCUCCGAUGAGCUCCUCCGACGAAGCCCCUCUUGCAAAGUCCUUCGCUACUGUCUUCUCCGACGAGCUCCUCCGGCGAAGCCCCUCUUGUAAAGUCCUUCGACGAACUCCGCUCGGUCUGAUACUUUUCCUCCUUAAGUAGAUUCCGAAAACGUCCAAACUUUGCCGGUCAGACUCUUUCUUCGGGACAGUUAAUAACCUCUUAUGGAGCAUGAGCCACAAGGUGAAAUAGGCUUUUGGUUUGGCUGCAUUUCUGAACAUGACAUUUCCACUACAUUCUUGGUUGCUCUCCUAAUAUAUGUAGACAGGUACUCGAGAUCAUCAACCGGCGCACCAUUGAAGAUCCCCUUACUUCCAGUCAGUUGGUGAGUCCUCCUAGUUUCCGGAGGAUACCGAGAUUAUCUUUAUAGCUUUGUUUUGCUUCCUUUAUUUUGAUUAUUGGUAGACAUGGACUUGUCAUUGGUACCUCCUGGAUUGUUGAUAGAGGCUUCAUAGACUAGAGUGUGGAAGUGUUGAAUUGUCCAUUUUGAUUAGCUUUAUUCUAGCUGAUUAUUGAUUUGAUAGUUGUUUGGCCUUUGGCCUUAUAUUAUGGUUAGUAGCCCACAAUAGAGUCUUCCGCUGAUAGAAUGUGAUUAAAUGAAAGUGUGAUUGGACCAAGUGGUUCGCUUGAAGGCAAGAAAUGACUUUCGAGUGCCGGCCACGUCUAGGGUACCCUCCCGGGGUGUGACAUGUUAACCAUAGUCAAGAAUGUGUCAUGUUCAGCACACACAUUGAAAAACUUGAAGUUCACCUUACUACAAUGCUGGGGUUCUUGCAGGGUGAGUACCAUAGGUCAAUGAUAAGAGAUACCAGGGUUCCCAUAGUCAGUGGUAAUAUUUCCCCAUUGUACCAUCCAUCAUAAUUACCAAAGGCUCUAUCAAUUCUAUUUUAUAUCCUUCCUGACUCAUACUGCGUGUUAGUCCAGUAGUAAUAACUUCCCUCCAUGGUAAUUCAUUAAUGCCAAUAGUUUGCACACAUUUCACAAAGUGUUUAACAUCAUUCAUUGUAACUAGAGCCCCAAUUAGCCUAUCCUGUAGAGUUAAUAAAGCAUUGAAAUCACCAACUAUAAGCCAAGGUGGAGAAAUGCUUUGUGCUUGUGUGUUCAGAUCUUGCUCUAGAUACUUCCUCAGUUCUAUAGUACUGAACCCAUAGAUGACUGAUAUCAUACAUUGUUGAUCAUUAGCUCUAUCUCUAAUUAAACACUGCAACACUUGUGCUGUAUUGCUUAUGACAUUGGCCUCAUAAUAGUUUUUAUCCCAUAUCAACCAUAUCCUUCCAUGAGUUGUUGUAUUAUAGUUAUUUAGUAUUCCCCAUCAUAGUGUUAUCCUUUUACUAAUAGCCUUCAUGUUGUACUCUUUCGCCUUUGUUUUAAUAAGUCCAGCCAGAGUUAUUUUAUUAUUCUGCAAAUAAGACUUAAGCUCCUUCUGCUUAUAUCUCUUAUUCACACCCCUCAAGUUCCAGAAUAACCACUUCAUUAAUAAGUUUUUGAGCUCUAUCCACUGGCAGUGAAGCUAGUUUACUAUGUAUCAGACUCUCAAAUCCAUUCCUAGUUGGUAUAGUGGCUAACACAGGGAAGUUAGUAACAGUGAAUUAUAUGCUGGUGUAUCCUGCAUUUGGCCAAAAGUUAUACUGCUUUGUCUCACUUGGUGUGUGCAUUGCUAUAGCUAUCCCCUUCUCUAGCUGUUUCAUUUGCUCAUCUGUAUUGUGCUGACUAGGGCUUGUAAGUGUCUGAUCUUGUUCUUUAUUAGGCUCAAUAGGUUGCUUCUGUGGCUGAUAGGUCCUUUAUAUUGCCAAGCCUGAGUUACCCUCUUCCCUGGCCUCCUCAUCUUUGAAGUAUCAUCUGUAGCUAUCAUAGACUUAGAACAUUGAUGACAAUCUUUUGGCAUUUACCACAAUACUAAGGUCGCCAUUCAAGUUCCACUAAUUGGGGAAAUGCCUUCCCGUUAGGAUCCAUAACCAUUAUUUGUUAAGGAAUGUCCUUAGUAACAUUCACUUCAAUUUGCAUCCUAGCAUACGAAAUUCUUGUUUGCUUAGUUGUACAUUCAUCAGCAAACAGUGGUACUCCAACUGCACUCUCUAUUCUGCUUAAAUAUCCCACACCCCAAUAGUUGAGAGGUAGUUUGGGAAAGGUCACCCACAAAGGAAUUUCAACUAGGAAUUCACUACCAAAAUCAAAAUCAAGACACCAUUGUUUUAGUAUCAUAGGCCUGUGAUUAAUGGUAUAUGGUCCAGUAUACAAUAUCUCCUUCACAUCAUGGAUUGAUUGGAACUUUAUUAUGUAAUACCCUUCUUCAUGAAGAUACACAUCUGGUUUGGUUUAGUCACUGUAGUCCAGUUCAAAGUAACAUACCUGUUCAUUGUGUUGUAUCCAGGACAUUCUCCAACAACAUACACAAUGAGGGCACAUUUCUAUUUCUCCUCUUCAGUUUGGACAUCUUCCUCCUCCAGUUGAACUGUGGUUUGUCCAUCAAUAAUUUGCGUAGGAAAAUAGGCUAAGUUCAUACCAUUAUUUGCUGCUCUAUUGUUCCUGAACAUAUUCAUCAAAGGCUUCAUGUGUUCAGCAUCCUUGAUCUUCUCCUUGCCCUUGUUUUGCCCUAGGCCACUAGUAUGUUCCUCCUCAAUCACACUUUUAUCCGGUUUAGCUCUAGCUACUACAAAUGUUGGUUACUGUUCCAUUGAUUUCAGUUUCCUUACCUCCAUGUAAAGGCUCUAAAUCUGGGGGCCCUCUUGAAUCUGCAGUUGGAGGCGUCACACUCAGAUUCAAUCUCCUAGCUACCUCAAAUCUUGACGCAGUUCCUAUUUCAGCAUUCUCCCCUUUAUUCACUGAUAAGGUUUUUGAUUGCACCUGUAUUUCUUCCACAACUCCUAUCACUCGAGCUCCCACCAAGCUUCCUAGUGUUAGCAAUGUUAUUUUCCGUCCACGACCACGUCCCCUCCCUCUUCCUCUUCCUCUCACCAUAGCUACCACCCCUGCGCACGUUAACUACCGUGCACUGAGAUCAUCUAGUGAGAAUUUUUUUUUUAGACUUUGAA